GUUUGAUCCUGGCUCAGAUUGAACGCUGGCGGCAGGCCUAACACCUGCUAGUCGAGCGGUAGAGAGAAGCUUGCUUCUCUUGAGAGCGUCGGACGGGUGAGUAAAGCCUAGGAAUCUGCCUGGUAGUGGGGGAUAACGUUCGGAAACGGACGCUAAUACCGCAUACGUCCUACGGGAGAAAGCAGGGGACCUUCGGGCCUUGCGCUAUCAGAUGAGCCUAGGUCGGAUUAGCUAGUUGGUGAGGUAAUGGCUCACCAAGGCGACGAUCCGUAACUGGUCUGAGAGGAUGAUCAGUCACACUGGAACUGAGACACGGUCCAGACUCCUACGGGAGGCAGCAGUGGGGAAUAUUGGACAAUGGGCGAAAGCCUGAUCCAGCCAUGCCGCGUGUGUGAAGAAGGUCUCCGGAUUGUAAAGCACUUUAAGUUGGGAGGAAGGGCAUUAACCUAAUACGUUAGUGUUUUGACGUUACCGACAGAAUAAGCACCGGCUAACUCUGUGCCAGCAGCCGCGGUAAUACAGAGGGUGCAAGCGUUAAUCGGAAUUACUGGGCGUAAAGCGCGCGUAGGUGGUUUGUUAAGUUGGAUGUGAAAUCCCCGGGCUCAACCUGGGAACUGCAUUCAAAACUGACUGACUAGGGUAUGGUAGAGGGUGGUGG
rnacentral:rRNA from 1 species